AUGCUGCUGCUCCUGCUGCUCCUGGGGCCCAGCUCCGGGCUGGGUGCUCGGGUCUCCCAGGAUCCAAGCACCGCGAUCUGCAAGAGCGGCGCCUCCGUGCAGAUCGAGUGCCGAGCCGUGGACUUGCAGGCCCAGACCGUGUUUUGGUACCGUCAGCUCCCGAAGCAGGGCCUCACGCUGAUGGCGACUUCAAACCUGGGCUCCAGCACCACGCACGAGCCAGAUUUCCCGAGGCCAAGUUUCCUAUUAGCCAUCCAAACCUCACAUUUUUCUCUCUGACGGUGACGAGUGCGAGUCCUGCGGACAGCAGCCUCUACCUCUGCGGGGUCGUGAGGGGUGGCAGGUAUGAACUUUUCUUUGGAGAAGGCACCAGGCUCACAGUUAUAGAGAAUCUGGAAAAGGUCAAACCUCCCACGGUCACAGUGUUUGAACCAUCGGAAGCAGAGACCUCCCGAACCCAGAAGGCCACGCUCGUGUGCCUGGCCACCGGCUUCUACCCCGACCACGUGGAGCUGAGCUGGUGGGUGAAUGGGAAGGAGGUCCAGAAUGGGGUCAGCACGGACCCUCAGCCCUACAAGGAGCGGGUGGAUGGGAAUGACUCCAGCUACUGUCUGAGCAGCCGGCUGAGGGUGUCCUCUGCCUUCUGGCACAACCCUCGUAACCACUUUCGCUGCCAAGUCCAGUUCCACGGGCUCGGGGACGAUGACAAGUGGCCCAACAGCAAACGGACCAAACCCGUCACCCAGAUCGUCAGUGCCGAGGCCUGGGGCAGAGCAGACUGUGGCUUCACUUCGGUGUCCUAUCAGCAGGGCAUCCUGUCUGCCACCAUCCUCUAUGAGAUCCUGCUGGGGAAGGCCACCCUGUAUGCUGUGCUGGUCAGUGCCCUGGUGCUGAUGGCCAAGGUCAAGAGAAAGGGUUCCUGAGACCAGCUCAGAAAAUGCACCCUGAAUUGCUCAUCAUCCUCCCUGAGAUUCUCCCUAACAUGCUCCCGUCUGCGUUUCUAGAAGUUAAUCUCUCUCCACCUCUUAUCUCCUUCCUGCUGGGAUAUCUGUCCCUUCUCUCUGCUUUCCUGCAGACUGAGCUCCUCAACCCUGAAACGGAAAUAGACUAAAACAAUAAAAGUGUCCUGCCAGGCCA